rnacentral:rRNA from 1 species
AAACUAGGAUUAGAUACCCUAUUAUUUAAGAGCUAAAUAUUGUAAGUAUAUAAUAAUUACGAAAGCAAAAAAUUAUGGCGGUAUUUUAAGCUUUUCAGAGGAAUUUGCUCUUUAAUGGAUAAAACACCUAAAUCUUACUUAAAUUUGUCGGCAACUUGUAUACCACUAUUAAAACAAUUAUUAACUCUAAUUGUUAAUAUUUAAAAACAUAAAUUAAUUUAAAUUAAGUCAAGGUGCAGUAAAAAUUUAAGAAUGAAGUGAAUUACAUUACUUUUAAGAGAUUAAGAAAUUUAAAAUAAAAUUUAGGAUUUGAAAGUAAAAUUAAAAUAGAAUGUUAAUUUGAAUUAAGCUCUAAAAUAUGUACAUAUCGCCCGUCACUCUUUUUUAAGAUAAGUCGUAACAUAG